GAGCAGGUUCAUCCAUUUUCUUCACAGCACUGAUGGACAGGAGUGGACAUCAGUGGACUUCUUUUCAGAACUCUGUGUAUGUGUCUGUGUACAUCAGAGUCCUGUCAGUCAAACAACAAUUCUCAGUGAACUAACACAAGUUUCACAGGAAACAACUGAGGAAAUACAUCACCAACUGACUUCACAAGAGCUGGAGGCAGCACUGCAAGAAAUGAUGAAUGGAAAGUCUCCAGGCAUCGAUGGUCUUCUAGCGGAGUUUUAUAAGGCAUUCUGGUCCAUUCUAGGAGAGGAUCUUCUAACUGUGAUCAAUGACAGCAUGACCAGCGGGACAUUCCCUGUAAGCUGCAGGAGGGCGGUGCUGACUCUUCUACCAAAAAAGGGGAUCUGUGCAAUGGAACUGGAGACCAAAACAGCAGACAACAGUCACCAUCACAAUCACAAACAGUGCAAAAGAUCCUCCAGCAGCUAAGAUGUUGUCCAUAAACCAACGGUCAAAGCUAAACAACGUAUCACUUGAAUUUUUCGCAUUGGACUUUAAACCUGGUGAAAGAUAGAUCUUUACUGUCUUCAACAUCACAUAUGAAGUCAAUCUUCCCAUCAUGACAUGUAACAUUCAAUCUUGGCUUUGGGACUUUUGCUGUUAAAUAAGGACAGACAGCGUCGAUCCCACAUGGUCCUGACACAUCAACACCAUGGUGCAGAAGGAGGCCUGGCAGCAUCUUUACCAUUUCAGAUGCUUAAAAGACUUUAAACUGGUCUCCAAAGUGCUAAUGACCUUCUACACCUGCAUCAUUGAGAGCAUCCUGAUGGGAAGCAUCACAGAAU